UACGUAGGGUGCGAGCGUUAAUCGGAAUUACUGGGCGUAAAGGGUGCGCAGGCGGUCUCGUAAGCUGGAUGUGAAAUCCCCGGGCUUAACCUGGGAAUGGCAUUUGGGACUGCAAGGCUCGAGUGCGGCAGAGGAGACUGGAAUUCCUGGUGUAGCAGUGAAAUGCGUAGAUAUCAAGAGGAACACCUGAGGUGAAGACGGGUUGCUGGGCUGACACUGACGCUGAGGCGCGAAAGCUAGGGUAGCAAACAGG
rnacentral:rRNA from 1 species